rnacentral:lncRNA from 1 species
AUGUGCAUAGCGCUAACCUUUAUGUAAACGCCAAAAUCAGUCACAGCUGACUCUGGGACAAGGCCGAAACCUCUAGCGUCAAGUAACUUGAAGUUAAAUCCUCGAUGCAUCCCAUUUCCAAAAGAUCAUGCCACACACAAAUUCAUUACCGAUCCGCUUCUCCGACUACAAAAGAGAUGUCAAGGGGCAAGCUUUCAUUGCCUAGAGUUGAUACAACACUACUCGAUCAAUCUGAAGUUGUUUGCUAGAUAUUUAUAAAGGAACGGUAGGCGGAUGAGGUGACUCGUAUACAUUUACAUGCCUACAACGUUGGU